rnacentral:rRNA from 1 species
CGUGUAGGCUGCUCGGAAAGUCGGAUGUGAAAGCCCUGGGCUCAACCUAGGAAGUGCAUUCGAAACUUCCGAGCUGGAGUGCUGGAGAGGAAGGCGGAAUUCUCGGUGUAGAGGUGAAAUUCGUAGAUAUCGAGAGGAACACCGGUGGCGAAGGCGGCCUUCUGGACAGUUACUGACGCUGAGACGCGAAAGCGUGGGGAGCAAACAG